rnacentral:rRNA from 1 species
UAGAAGACGAGGACGCUUUCCGUUCGGAGCGAGCGUACACAGGUGCUGCAGUGGCUGUCGUCAGCUCGUGUCGUGAGAUGGUUAGGGUUAACGUCCCGACAACGAGCGCAACCCCUGCAUUCAGUUGCCAUCGGGUAAUGCCGGGCACUCUGGAAGGACUGCCAUCGACAAGAUGGAGGAAGGUGGGGAUGACGUCAAGUCAUCAUGGCCCUUAUGUCCAGGGCGACACACGUGCUACAAUGGCCGGCACAACGGGAAGCGAGUUCGCGAGGACGAGCGGAUCCCUCAAAGCCGGUCGCAGUUCGGAUUGCAGGCUGAAACUCGCCUACAUGAAGUUGGAGUUGCUAGUAAUCGCGAAUCAGAAUGUCGCGGUGAAUGCGUUCCCGGGCCUU